rnacentral:rRNA from 1 species
UCAGGAUGAACGCUAGCUACAGGCUUAACACAUGCAAGUCGAGGGGAAACGACAUUGGAAGCUUGCUUCGAUGGGCGUCGACCGGCGCACGGGUGAGUAACGCGUAUCCAACCUGCCCACCACUUGGGGAUAACCUUGCGAAAGUAAGACUAAUACCCAAUGACGUCUCUAGAAGACAUCUGAAAGGGAUUAAAGAUUCAUCGGUGAUGGAUGGGGAUGCGUCUGAUUAGCUUGUUGCGGGGUAACGGCCCACCAAGGCAACGAUCAGUAGGGGUUCUGAGAGGAAGGUCCCCCACAUUGGAACUGAGACACAGUCCAAACUCCUACGGGAGGCAGCAGUGAGGAAUAUUGGUCAAUGGGCGAGAGCCUGAACCAGCCAAGUAGCGUGCAGGAUGACGGCCCUAUGGGUUGUAAACUGCUUUUAUAAGGGAAUAAAGUGAGCCUCGUGAGGCUUUUUGCAUGUACCUUAUGAAUAAGGACCGGCUAAUUCCGUG